AUUGAACGCUGGCGGCAGGCUUAACACAUGCAAGUCGAGCGAGCGGCGGACGGGUGAGUAAUGUCUGGGACACUGCCUGAUGGAGGGGGAUAACUACUGAAAACGGUAGCUACUACCGCAUACCAUCAGAUGUUCCCCGAUGGGAUUAGCUAGUAGGUGGGGUAAUGGCGCACCUACGCGACGAGCCCUAGCUGGUCUGAGAGGAUGACACGCCACACUGAAACUGAGAGACGGUGCAAACGCCGACGGUGGUAAGCGGGGGGGAAUAGGGCACAAUGGGCGAAAGCCUGAUGCAGCCAUGCCGCGGGGGUGAAGAAGGCCUUCGGGUGGUAGAGCACUUGCAGCGAGGAGGUGUUACUCGCAGAAGAAGCACCGGCUAACUCCGUGCCAGCAGCGGCGGUAAUAC
rnacentral:rRNA from 1 species